UACGUAGGGGGCUAGCGUUGUCCGGAAUCAUUGGGCGUAAAGAGCGUGUAGGCGGUCCGGUAAGUCCGCUGUGAAAGUCGGGGGCUCAACCCUCGAGUGCCGGUGGAUACUGUCGGGCUAGAGUGCGGAAGAGGCGAGUGGAAUUCCUGGUGUAGCGGUGAAAUGCGCAGAUAUCAGGAGGAACACCAAUUGCGAAGGCAGCUCGCUGGGACGUAACUGACGCUGAGACGCGAAAGCGUGGGGAGCAAACAGG
rnacentral:rRNA from 1 species